CUGCCAUGAUGACUACUUAGGACACCUUUGGAUCAAAGAUGAAACUAAUCUAUUACUCUGAGCAGU
ensembl:snoRNA SNORD58 Small nucleolar RNA SNORD58